rnacentral:rRNA from 1 species
GACGAACGCUGGCGGCGUGCUUAACACAUGCAAGUCGAACGGAAAGGCCCUGCUUUUGUGGGGUGCUCGAGUGGCGAACGGGUGAGUAACACGUGAGUAACCUGCCCUUGACUUUGGGAUAACUUCAGGAAACUGGGGCUAAUACCGGAUAGGAGCUCCUGCUGCAUGGUGGGGGUUGGAAAGUUUCGGCGGUUGGGGAUGGACUCGCGGCUUAUCAGCUUGUUGGUGGGGUAGUGGCUUACCAAGGCUUUGACGGGUAGCCGGCCUGAGAGGGUGACCGGCCACAUUGUGACUGAGAUACGGCCCAGACGCCUACGGGAGGCAGCAGUGGGGGAUAUUGCACAAUGGGCGGAAGCCUGAUGCAGCAACGCCGCGUGCGGGAUGACGGCCUUCGGGUUGUAAACCGCUUUCGCCUGUGACGAAGCGUGAGUGACGGUAAUGGGUAAAGAAGCACCGGCUAACUACGU